AUGCUGCGCGCCCAGCUCACGCGCGCCCAAGCUCGCUUCAAGAAGCAAGCCGAUCGUCACCGCGCGGAGCGCGCCUUCGACGUCGGCGAGAACGUGCUCCUCAAACUGCAGCCGUACGCGCAGUCGACCGUCGCCAACCGCCCGUGUCGCAAGCUCUCCUACAAGUUCUUCGGCCCUUUUGAAGUGACAGAGCGGAUUGGAACCUUGGCAUAUCGCCUGCAGUUGCCUCCAGACAGCCGCAUCCAUCCGGUAUUUCACGUCUCCCAGCUCAAACCCUUCACUCCAGAUUACACUCCAGUCUUCGCCGAGCUGCCACGGGUACCCGACCUCACUGGGGGUGAAACGGAGCCAGUGGCGAUCUUGGAGCGGAGGAUGAUGAAGAAGGGCGAUGCACCGGUCGUGCAACUCCGUGUCCAGUGGGCAAACAUGCCAACUUCAGCCACCACCUGGGAAGAUUACACCGUUCUUCGCCAACGCUAUCCAUCAGCCUGCAUCUGGGAAGGAGCUUCAUCUCAAGGGGAGGACAAUGUCGCGCCUACUGAUGCAUCAAUGGCGGACUGA
rnacentral:rRNA from 1 species